GCCCGUGUGGCCUAAAGGCUAAGGCAUCUGACUUCUAUUACGAAUAUAGAAUUCAUCAGAAGAUUGCGGGUUCGAUCCCCGCCAUGGGUU